GUUGGCAUGUCGUAGCUGACUCCACGACGCCGCGUGAGGGAUGAAUGGCUUUCGGGUUGUAAACCCCUUUUCUCAGGGAAGAACAAUGACGGUACCUGAGGAAUAAGUCUCGGCUAACUACGUGCCAGCAGCCGCGGUAAUACGUAGGAGGCGAGCGUUAUCCGGAUUUACUGGGCGUAAAGCGGGCGUAGGCGGUCCUUCAAGUCGGAUGUAAAAUCUCCCGGCUCAACUGGGAGGGACCAUUCGAAACUGCUGGACUUGAGGAUAGCAAAGGGAGGUGGAAUUCCCGGUGUAGUGGUGAUAUGCGUAUAUAUCGGGAGGAACACCAGUGGCGAAGGCGGCCUCCUGGGCUAUUUCUGACGCUGAGGCCCAAAAGCGUGGGGAGCGAACAGGAUUAAAUACCCUGGUAGUCCACGCUGUAAACGAUGGACACUAGGUAUGGGGAGUAUCGACCCUCUCUGUGCCGAAGCUAACGCCUUAAGUGUCCCGCCUGGGGACUACGGCCGCAAGGCUAAAACUCAAAUGAAAUUGACGGACUAAUUCUCUGAUGGUGUUGGGGGG
rnacentral:rRNA from 1 species